AAAAGAUAAAGAAAAACAAGAAAUAUUUUGUUUUUCGAUCUGAAAAAGUGAAAGC
rnacentral:sRNA from 1 species